UUAUAGACUUGUACAUCUUAAGCCUAUAUAAUUUUAUUAACCAAUGUCACCCUAAUAAAUUCAAUAAAAAUUAGAAAUGAAACAUUUAAAAAUAGAUGC